AUUGAACGCUGGCGGCAUGCCUUACACAUGCAAGUCGAACGGCAGCACGGAGCUUGCUCUGGUGGCGAGUGGCGGACGGGUGAGUAAUGUCUGGGAAACUGCCCGAUGGAGGGGGAUAACUACUGGAAACGGUAGCUAAUACCGCAUAACGUCGCAAGACCAAAGUGGGGGACCUUCGGGCCUCACACCAUCGGAUGUGCCCAGAUGGGAUUAGCUAGUAGGUGGGGUAAUGGCUCACCUAGGCGACGAUCCCUAGCUGGUCUGAGAGGAUGACCAGCCACACUGGAACUGAGACACGGUCCAGACUCCUACGGGAGGCAGCAGUGGGGAAUAUUGCACAAUGGGCGCAAGCCUGAUGCAGCCAUGCCGCGUGUAUGAAGAAGGCCUUCGGGUUGUAAAGUACUUUCAGCGGGGAGGAAGGCGGUGAAGUUAAUAACUUCACCGAUUGACGUUACCCGCAGAAGAAGCACCGGCUAACUCCGUGCCAGCAGCCGCCGUAA
rnacentral:rRNA from 1 species